rnacentral:rRNA from 1 species
AACGGCCGUACCAUGCUGAAUAUAUCGGUUCUCUUUAGAUCACCGAAGUUAAGCAUCAUAGGGCGCGGUCAGUACUUGGGUGGGUGACCACCUGGGAACACUGCGUGCCGUU